UUUCCGGUUGAUCCUGCCAGAGGUCACUGCUAUCGGUGUUCGACUAAGCCAUGCGAGUCAAAUGUUCUUCGUGAACAUGGCGUACUGCUCAGUAACACGUGGAUAACCUGCCCUUAGGUCUGGCAUAACCCCGGGAAACUGGGGAUAAUUCCGGAUAGAUCAUCGAUGCUGGAAUGCGCUUUGAUCCAAAGCUAUUGUGCCUAAGGAUGGGUCUGCGGUCUAUCAGGUUGUAGUGGGUGUAAUGUACCUACUAGCCUACGACGGAUACGGGUUGUGGGAGCAAGAGCCCGGAGAUGGAUUCUGAGACAUGAAUCCAGGCCCUACGGGGCGCAGCAGGCGCGAAAACUUUACAAUGCGGGGAACCGCGAUAAGGGGACACCGAGUGCCAGCAUCCUAUGUUGGCUGUCCAUAUGUCUAAAUCACAUGUGUUAGCAAGGGCCGGGCAAGACCGGUGCCAGCCGCCGCGGUAACACCGGCGGCCCGAGUGGUGGCCACUAUUAUUGGGUCUAAAGGGUCCGUAGCCGGUUUGGUCAGUCUUCCGGGAAAUCUGACGGCUCAACCGUUAGGCUUUCGGGGGAUACUACCAGGCUUGGGACCGGGAGAGGUAAGAGGUACUACGGGGGUAGGAGUGAAAUCUUGUAAUCCCUGUGGGACCACCAGUGGCGAAGGCGUCUUACCAGAACGGGUCCGACGGUGAGGGACGAAAGCUGGGGGCACGAACCGGAUUAGAUACCCGGGUAGUCCCAGCUGUAAACUAUGCUCGCUAGGUGUCAGGGACGGUGCGACUGUUUCUGGUGCCGCAGGGAAGCCGUGAAGCGAGCCACCUGGGAAGUACGGUCGCAAGGCUGAAACUUAAAGGAAUUGGCGGGGGAGCACUACAACGGGUGGAGCCUGCGGUUUAAUUGGACUCAACGCCGGG
rnacentral:rRNA from 1 species